rnacentral:rRNA from 1 species
GAUGAACGCUGGCGGCGUGCCUAAUACAUGCAAGUCGAGCGAACGGACGAGAAGCUUGCUUCUCUGGUGUUAGCGGCGGACGGGUGAGUAACACGUGGAUAACCUACCUAUAAGACUGGGAUAACUUCGGGAAACCGGAGCUAAUACCGGAUAAUAUUUUGAACCGCAUGGUUCAAAAGUGAAAGACGGUCUUGCUGUCACUUAUAGAUGGAUCCGCGCUGCAUUAGCUAGUUGGUAAGGUAACGGCUUACCAAGGCAACGAUGCAUAGCCGACCUGAGAGGGUGAUCGGCCACACUGGAAUUGAGACACGGUCCAGACUCCUACGGGAGGCAGCAGUAGGGAAUCUUCCGCAAUGGGCGAAAGCCUGACGGAGCAACGCCGCGUGAGUGAUGAAGGUCUUCGGAUCGUAAAACUCUGUUAUUAGGGAAGAACAUAUGUGUAAGUAACUGUGCACAUCUUGACGGUACCUAAUCAGAAAGCCACGGCUAACUACGUG